rnacentral:lncRNA from 1 species
GAUGAAGGGAGCAAUAGGGCAGGAGACAGUGAACAGGGUUUCCUUUCAGAUCAGUGUCCGGAGCCUGCAACAAAUUCCAGUCUCUCCCUUUAUUGUAGGUGAUGAAAGUUUUCACUUGGUUGUCAAUCUUCUUGUUAGCCAAGAACAUUCCCUUUAUCCCUGCUACCUCAUAGAGGUCAAUCAUCACGUUCCCAUCCAGCCCUUGACUACUCUUGACAUUUUCCAAUGCCAGGGUGAAGUACACCCCUCGGGUGUCAGAGAUAUACAGAUUGUAUGUGUCGUUCUGGUUCCACUCUUGAACAGCUGCAAACACCUGACUCUCAUCUGU